rnacentral:tRNA from 1 species
GAAAUAGGUUACUCAAGAAUAAGCUUCUAACUUAAUUCUUAAGCAGUGAAAUUCUGUUUCUGUUUCU